CUACAAUUAUACGGUUCUACGGAAAAGUUCAUAUCCACUUUUCUCUUCGAGAUAGACAAGUAUGAGAAUGACAAAGUCGCGGAAUAAUGAAACUAAUUGUGACUUAAAGAAAAGAGUAUGAAUCCCGACAUCUUCGUCCGAGAACAGGACGUUUCGACGCAAGGCGAGGGUGCAGUUUCCUGCUGACCGCGGAAACUCUCUUAUUCUGAUUCUAGAAGCAUUCGAAGGAGUGCCUUCCGUUAAAAGUGAAGAAGAUCCGUGCCCGAGAAGAUUAAAAAAGAAGAGCGCAGCUCUCAAGAGUUAAGAGGAAGGGUGAAGAGCAGUUGAGAUUUCCUCGAAGGCACAAAUUUACACUUGAAUAAUAUGAGUCUGACUCAAACAUUUUGAAUGGUUUUUCUUUAUAGGAUACUCUAUUGGUAUAGAAAUAUGGGAUACACAUAUUAAGGGAACAUACAUAUUAGGUAUAUCUAAUAUUUUUUAAUGUAUUGUUUAUUUUCUUUGUUUUUUGUUAAUAAAUUAUUAUAUUUUGACAUUUUGUACUAUUUCUCACCCUUUUAUAUGUGCCAUCGUUCAAAAAUAUAGU